GCCACCUGCAAGAGAGUUUCGUUUCUUCCCUCUCAGUCUCUAAAUAUGUUGUUUCUUUUUGUUCCUUUAUUAGCAAGGCUGAGGCUUCAGUUCAACUCGCAACAGAAGUGCUGAUAACUGGACAUCAGAGUCUCAUUUCCAAACUGUACUUCCUCUGCUUCCCCCUUAGGUGUGAUAUUUGCUGUGGAUUAUUUUUGUAGAUAUUCUACAACAAGUGAGUUGGCUUCUCUUCUAGUCUUACAUGAUUAUUUUAUUAUUUUGGGGGACUGCUGGGGAGGAACCCAGGGCCUCACACCUGCUGAACACAAGUGGGCUUAACCACUGAGGUGCACACCCAGCCCUCAUGCUGCCCUCUCAGGUGGGCCCAGAGGAGGGAGAGGGUUUGCUCAAAAGGAAGGUGUGUGCCAAGGCUCAGAGGCCAGGUAAGGCAGGAAGUGGGCUUUGGGAUUCAGGACAGCAAUGGGCCUUAGAUGCGUGUGCUCUGGAGACAAGUGGGGAGACACCAUGGAGAGUGACAUCAGAAACCUGGGUUUUAUGUCACCUGAGGGAAGGUGUCUCUAAAGAUCUUGGGUUGUGCAGGGUUGUGAUCAGACCAUGGGAAGUAGCUCCUGUUGGCUGUGGCCUGGAAGCCCCCUGGAGGGGACACAGCAGGCCUAGGUAGGAAGGCUCAGUCCAGUCUGGAUGGAUGAAUCCAGGUACAGAGAAUCAAGACAACUCCACAAGACGUGAUUCAACAGAAUUUGUGAUCGGCCACAGAAGACAGGAGGGAGAAGGAAAAUCACAGACAAAUCCUCAUGGUUCCCACGGGGAGCUGGGGGUGGGGGACCCAGGCCUGGCUGAGUCAGGAAACCCGCUCAGACACAGCCUUUGAUGAGCGGGGGAGGCCAGGGGCUGAGCAACAAGUAUGGAUCCCGUGCUGUGUCCAGGGCCAGGCUCAUCGUCCUGGCUGAAACCCACGAAGCAUUAUCCCCAAAGGCUCAACCCCCAAGGUUAACUGAUUCUUUUUACCACAAUCCAACGAGAUAAGGACAGUUUUUCCCCCCAUUUUGUAGAUAAAAUAACUGAAGCAUGGAGUGGUUAGGAGAGGACUCAGGGUGCCCAAUAAGAAAAGGCUCCUGCAGAUAAGGGGUCCCCACUCCUGGGGGUGGGAGGGUCCCCACUCCCCAUGCCUGCCUGAGCUCCAGGCUGGCUCUAUGCUUGCCCGUCCUUGGGGACACAGUGGGUUCCCUCUGGGGCUCAGCUUUCCACCUAUGCCCUAGAGUAACACCCAACACUAUUUACAGGGUUCACGGCCUAAUGCAUGCAGCAGCCUGGGGAGGCUCAGCUUAAGGAGCAGCCAAGCUGUUUCCCUAAGGAUCACCCCAUUUUUACCUUCCAGCAGCAGCCCACAAGGGCUCCACCUCCUUGCCAGCCCCCCGAAAGGCCAGUUUCUAAUACCAGACAUUCUAGUGGGUUCUGUAGAGUUUUCUCCCUGGGAUUUAUCUUAGGUUUCUUUGGGGACUCAUGAUCAGGAGUUUAUUAACUCUUCAUCCAUCUUUGACAAGUGUCUGCUCCAAUUUCGUCCAUUUUUUCUGGACUGUUUUCCAGCACUUAGGGCUUCUGGGUUACAGAAGAGAUCCCUGGUGACAGUCAUCAGGCCCUGUGACGAGAAAAACCAUGCUACACAGCCUCAGUGUCCCACGGAACACAGAGCCCAGAGCUUGAUGAAGAGAGAGAGGGACGGGAUCACGGGGUGAGUGUGCAGGACACCUCCCAGGCAUUCUCCUGGGGACCCACUUCCUCCCUGUCCUCCAGCUGUCUCCCUGGCCGGGGCUUCCACUGACUUCUAGGGGUGGCUUCUCUGCCUAUCAUCCUUGGCAGCUGUGGCCUGGCUCCCAGGGAAGCUGGCUUGGUCUCCUGGGCCUCAGGAGCUGAGGGUGGUCACUCCAACCUCUUCACUCACACGCAGGCUCAAGGUGGCCUUUGCUAAUUUCUAAACGACCAUUUGGAGCGUCACUUCCUUCAAGUGUGGCAUCCUCCAGAAGCCUUUGCCGGCUCUGAGCUGGCUCUGGAGCAGCCCAAUUGCAGGAGGGCUCCCUGCCCCACGCUGGGUCACCAUCAUCCUGAAAGAGACUAUUUCAGGCUUUGAAUGUGUGUCUUCAUUGCAGAGGGGCAAAGGGGCUGCUCUGCUUGCUCUGUUCAGAGCCUCCAGGGACUCACAUAGGGACCAGGAGGAAAUCUUAGCCUCUUAGGCCAAUUCUAAGUCUCCUUCCGAUGUGCCACAGAAGCUCAACAAUUGCACUACACAGAAAAAAUAAAUAAACCUCUGUGAUGGAUGCCCAUGCCAAAUCUCUUGCUCACUCCUGAACCCUAAUGUGGAGGCUGGGAGCUGCAAAAGUUAAAUAGCUCAUUCCCAGGUCCACCUGCCUCUGGGACGCUCCAAAACACAUCAUCAAAAAAUGCCGAGGAAAAAUACAGUGCACAGCUUUUGUAAAAACUUAUGAAUUUUAUAUAAGUCAGAGGAGUUGAGGCUCUUGCUCCAUCUUUUUCUUGGACUCUCUUCCUGCCUAGAAUGUGGGUGUGACUGCUGGAGCUGCAGUCAGCAUUUUAAAACCAACAGGAAAAGUCCAAUAGUUAUAGAUAUUGAGGCCCUGACAUUGUGCACUUCCAAUUUAUAUAUUGUGUGAUAGACACAGACCCAAUUGGUCUGGGCUACCAAUAUUUCAAUGUAUUUUUACUUGCAGUUGAAAGCAUUCCUAACUAGGGCUAAGUAUCUCCUUGGCAUACUUGGUUGGCAGUUACAAAGGAAUGGCAACGUCAAUGGUAACAUUCAUACAACGAAUGUUCUUCUUUGUUCACUUAAUAAUCCAACUGAUGUUUACUGAGCACCUACUAGGUGGCAUCCCUGUUCCAGGUGAAGAGGAGACCUCAGUGGAUACAUCAAUGGAGCGCCCACAGUAAAGUGAAGACAAGAUCAGGCAGACAAGCAGGAUCUCUUCUGUGACAGAGGAGCAUGCUGGGAAACAGGGCAGAGCUAGGGUUGAGUGAGGGGCAUGCAAAAUCCCAGGGUCCCUGUGAGGAGGUCACAAGAGCAACUUUGGAUGAUGUUCAGAGAAAUGGUCCUUGAGGAGUAGCAUUCUACCUGGGACCUGAAUGACAAGGCAGAGUCAGCCACGUGGAGACCCUAAGGGACCACGGGAGUGGAGUGACCAUUACAAACACAGAUAAAUGGAAACAGGUGUGGUCAGCAGGAUCCUGGGCAGUGGCACAGCCCAGCCAAUGAGAGGCAAGUGGAAGGGGUGAGGCCGGGGUUGGCAGGAGCUGGACCCUGGGAGGGCUUACAAAGACCAUAUUUGAGGCGUUGGAUGUGGUUUUGCGACAUGGGCUCUGUUCAUUUCAGAUUUGGCCUUUUGUCCUCAAUCCUCGGAGACCCCUCACUGUCUGGUGAUGGAGUCGGUCAGGACCCACCACGGUUAGGUUCCACAGAGCCACAGGCCCCUGGCUACUGAUCCAUCCCCUGGGCCUGCCACCGGCCCAGUAUGAAAAGAAACAUGGAUUCAAAAGCGUCUGCCAGUGCGGACUAGUUACUAGCUCGUGGAGACUCAGAGCUCAGAAAAUAAACCCAACCUGACCGACUGGGCCAAAUUUUAACUGCGGAAUCCCAGGCAAACCUCACAGCCUCCUCGGGCCUCAGAAGUAGAGACGGACCUCCCAGGCAGGAGGACUGAGGGCUAAUGUAAGGACACUCCACUGGGGCCCCGGCUGUGUGGGGGACAAGUUACAACUUACAACAUUAUUAAAUACUGUGGUCUUGGCUACGUUGGUGGUGUCUAGCUGAAGAGGCCCCGGGAACAGGUCAGAUCCAUUUCCAUAGGUUUUACAGUGAACUACCUUCCAGGGUUGGCACAGGGUGACGUAAUGCAGCCGGGGGUCAGAAUUUAAGGAGACACUCACACUCAGGGCCUAUUCCUGUACUGGCACCAACCGGAGAAUCAGCGCCUCCUUAAAUCCCGCAGCCUGGACAAUGGCCUGCCUGGCCCCAUCUGGACCUGCGCCUUCCAGAGCUCAAACUCUCCUGCCAUGACUCUCCUCAAAUCCCCAGAGGCUGUGCCACCACAGGGCUGGGACAAUAGCAGGAGGAGAAGGAGGGCACCCAUUUCCCAGUCUCUGACCACAACUAGAGGCCGACCCUCCUCGCCUGCAAUUAUCUCCAGGCCACUCGGAGAGAUUUCCUUCCGUCCCCACAGAGCCAGUUCCCCGACAAUGGUACCGGUAAUAGCUGCUAAUUCGCACUCCAUGAAAUUGUGGAGGGGCUCCCAAGCUGUAAGGAGGUCACAGUCUUCUUGGCCUGUUGAUAGGGACAGAUUGAGCUAUGGAACCAUCAGAGCUCUCGGAGUUAUUAGUGUUCCUGGUGCAAAGCACCCUUUUCCUGCCCAGCAUUUUGUCAUGUGGAUGUGGAAUUGCUGACAGCUUUUUUGGCAACUUGAAACUGGUCCCAGCAGGGUCAGAGAGUCCCCCUGAUGGCUGUGUGCUUGGACGUGGAGUGACCGUGCCCGUAGCACUGGGAAAGAGACCUGCUGACCCACCCCCUUAUGAGCUGGCAUCUCCACUUCAACCAGGGCCUCGACCCUGAAGUAGUGCUGUGCUCAGGCCCGUAUUGCCAGCAGAUAGGGACAGCGGUGACUGAAAGGGGCCCACGGUGGGUGAUUUUUUAACCACUCUGCAUUUCUGAAAUCACGUGACCUGUAUAGUGUGGGGGCUGCCACCCCAUUUCACAGAUGGAGCAAGAGAGGCCACACUGUCCCUCUGUCAACCAGACGAGGUGUGGAAAGGGCAGGGAUCUCCUUUACACAUCUGUGUUGUGUCUGUGCACAAGCGUUUUCUUAUCCCAAGAUGCUCUAUGAGUCCCUUCCAGGUUACUCAAAAGUCAAGAAUCGGUAAGUAUGCAAACAUGACAGCUCUGCCGCUUUGCAGAUUUAUAGAGCUUAUCUAUUUUUUUCCUGAUAGAAAGGGUGGUUGGUGUUACCUGGACGAGAAGGGCAGUGCACUGAGCCUCAGAGAGGCUCAUGCAUGUCAGACCAGAGAGACGGAAGCUUGGACAGGCAGAGGGCACUGGGCUGAGAUGGGGCAGGAGUGCACCACAGCUGGACAGACCCGUGCAUGCAGGGGCAGAAUCCUUGCCUGCAGGGGUCUCCAUGUACGGUUAUUUGUUGUGAGCUAGCAAACUCAGCGAUGUAACAGGGAUGGACAGGAAAGGAAGAGGGAAGUGAGGGAGAGACACGGAGAUGAGCCCUGGGUUGGGGGAAAGAGAAGGCCAGCAGCCCUCCACGGGGCCCUACAAUCUGUCCUGCGUCCCCACAGUGAAGUGGUCACUCAGCCUCAAAGUCAGCUUGGAUAAGGUGUCAGCCCAUGGGAGAAGAAUGAUUUGAGAUUUGUUUCCAUCUGUCUUUCCUAAGUCAGCAGGAGGGACCACCUUCUCCCACAAAGGUGAACUCAAGGGCACAGGACAUUUAGCUGGUUGAAUCGUUGCCCUUGCCUGAUUCUUGUUCAUGCUAAUCACCUGAAUGUCCUGCAUGCCAUCCUCUCUUCCUCCCUGUGCGAGGGCCAUUUCGCCCCCAGGCAUCUGAAAGCCUUCAGCAUGGAUGUGGGUCCCUUCCUUGUUAGAUGCAGGGUGUGGGACACGUUGUCUAACUUGCCAUGCUUCUCAAUGAGCGAGGGCAUGGAACACCCAAGACUGGGACAUGGGUCAAGCCAUGAAAUCGGUGAUGAUUUUUAUGGCAACAAUAGGAAUUCCACAACCUCGGUGCCCCUCCCUGCAGGGCCCUGAGACGUCCAUCAUUGUCUGGACGAACAUGGCUUUCGCAGUGAGACACAACCCAUCCUAACAGUGAUGCCACAGGAUAGUCCACCGCCCAAGGUCAAGUGCACACCCUGCACUCAGACGUAAUGGCAGUCAUUUGUAUUUGUGUAUUGCUCAAAACCCCACAGCUUCUAGACACAGGGUCACACAGGCAGGUGCCAAGACAUAAGCUGAAGUGUGGACUCCUGUUUUACAGGGGAAGAGGUCGAGGCCUUGAGAGGUCAACUGGUUUCCCUGCACAGGUCCAAACAGAUGGAAAGUAAGGGGUCAGAUGUGAGCUGGGUUUCCUAAUGACAACUCAACACAGUGAUGACCCCAAGGAAGAAGACCCUCUGCAGCAGUUACUGCACCUGCCUGUGAGCAGAACCAGGUGCUGAGAAGUUCAAACACAGGCUCCAAGGUGCCAGCUCUCAGGAGCUUGCCUGGGGCCCAAGACCACCUCCAAACACAUCAGGUGAAAUGAGAAACACCUCCGGCCGCCCAGCCUGGACCCGGCCUCCUCCUCACCUCCUCACGCCCCUCCUCCCCCCCGUUCAACAGGCCCCAGCCCCCCAACCCACCUUCACUUUUGGCACAUGCCCCUGCUUUGCAUUCGCUCCUGCCUGUCCAGUGUCCCCAAGAUGCGGCAGUGCUGGGUCUUUCUCAGCGCUCCCAUUUCAAACCCAUGGUCACCUCCUCCUAGAGACCCUCCUGCCCCACUGCCUAAGUCAGCUCUCUUCGCCUCUCCCGGUCCCUGGAGCUGCUCCCUUCUGUGCCUUCCUGUAGGAAUCCCACAGGCUGGUUGAAGUGGUUGAUUUCUGCAUUUGCCUGUGGUCCAGCGCACCCUCCAUAUUAGGAAACGAGCUCCUCAUGGGCCAGGAUCUUGUGCCUCUGUCACCUCCCAACGCUUUGGCACAUAAAAGAUACUCAGUAUAACGCCUGUCAAAAUGAGCAAGAUGCAGGUGCUCACACGAGGCCCUGGGGCAGGACAGGUGAGGGGAAGGCGGCCUGCAGGGGUCUGCAGUCAAUGACAGGUCCAGCCUUCAGCACCCUCACUCACCAGAUCUGCGUGGCCCCAGGAAUCUGCUUGAUCUCUCUGGAGCUCUCACCUCCCGUAACUUAGUGGUGGUGUUCAUGGUGCCUCACUUUCAGAAGUGCCAUGAGACACAGAGUCACUCCUGUGGUGCACCUUGCACAGAGACAGGCCCACAGAAAAGGACCAGUGCAACCUGACCACACCUUCCACUCCUGUGAACUAGGCCCCACCUCCCACGACCUCCACCACCUCCCACGACCUCCACCACCUCCCAAGACCUCCACCACCUCCCACGACCUCCAACACCUCCCACGACCUCCGCCACCUCCCACAGUCCACACAGCUGGGAAUCCCUGUGUGGAUUAAUCCUCUGAUGAGGUUGGAACCCCCAUGAUCCACUCACUUCCCAAGGGCACUGCCUGUGUUCAUUGCUGCACUAGGGACCGACCCUUCCCCACAAGAGUCUUCGGAGGACCCUUCCUAUCCAAACCAUAACACCAUGUGACCUUUGGUGGGUGUGAGCAGAGCAGCUGAUCUCAGGCCUGGGUGAGAUUCUAGGAGGAACCACAGUUCCACUCCCUCUGCCUUUGCCUUUGAGCACCCAAGAGCUGGCCUGGGUCACCCCAGGCCCUCAGCUCCCCAGUGGCCCAGCACAAGGUCACACAGACCAGAACAUAGAGCACUUCUGUCCCCCAGGGAGUUGCUCAUGCCCUGUUCAACAAACAGCCAACCCUCAAAAGCCUUUUCUGACUCCUGCCUCUUCCUGUCAACUUUGCAUGUCGUAAAAAUCUUAGAAACAGAGCUGUAGGGUAUUCACGGAAGGAUGGCACUUCUCUUUGACCUAAGGGUAAAGAUUUAGGUAGAAAAUACUACAAAUCCCUGAGUUUCAAUUGUCCCCGAGGAGCAUCUCUGAAUUGGAGCUGUUUUGGAGUUGCUUUCUCCUCUCAAUCUCCUGCUCUGUCUGUUCUUGAUGGUAAAGGAGUUCAGAAGCCUGGGUUGGCCGUGGAGCCCCGGGAAGCUCUGGAGGGAAGCUUGGAAUAUCAACACCCCACUCACCGCCUGCCCUCCCUCCUGGGGCUUCUGACUUACUGACAAGCUAGUGAACAGGCUUUUGAACGAGCUGCGACACGUGCAGCCUCCCUGAUCCUCCAGCCUCUGCACUGCCCAUCUUGACUUGCCUCAGGUAAGGAUCUACAGGCACAAUGACACCGUGGAGGAACAGGGGGACAUUGCUAUCCUUCAAACCAGCACGGAGUGUGCUUGCCACCCUCCUUCCCAGUCCUGGAUAAACCUCACCAGGCUCCUUGGAGCUGAUGAAGCAUCUACUCACAGCCGGGUGUGCGGCAGCUUCUUCAGCAAUGAGAUUGUCUUUUAAAUUCUGCAGUUUCCUCCAUAGAACAAAUGGCGGAAUGGUGUCAGUCUUAGUCGCCGGGGCCUCCAGGAGUUCUGUGUCUGCUGCUGAGUGGGGCCCAGGUGUGAGUUCCUAGGGACGCUGCUAAUCAUUCUGGAUGCCCACAGAUUGUUUUCCCUGCUCUUAAUCACCAGGUAUGGAGCCCACAGUUGGCACCAUUUUUCUCCUCUACCUUCAUGUUGACAGUUGCCCCCUUCAAUUCAGAAGAUGCAUCCUAAGAGUGAUCGCAGGGACACUUCUACACUGGUGACCACAGCUGACUGGAGGCAACCUGUUGACACUAGUACUCAAAGGAAUCUGUGAACACAAAGGAGAGAGGCUCAAAAUGCAACACGAGACUGACUGCCUUGGAGUCAGUUUGAUUCUGAUUCUCUCACUUAGGAUGCAAUACCCAGCACAGACCCUUCGGAUGACAGACUCCAAAGCCACUCUCAAACCCUCACUCUUGCUUUUUAGUUAUAGAGGACAGACAGCAAGAUACUCAUCUUUUUGACUUCCAUUGUGAUCAGUUAUAGCACUGUGACCUAAUUCAGGCCACUUAACAUUUAUGUGGAGGAUCCUACAGAAGGCAUCCCUUCAAGUAAGCACUCACAGGUUGUGGAGAAAUUUAUUUUAGCCUUCCUGUCUCCUGCCAAUAAUGUAGAUGUGAUGGCUGGAAGUGGAAUAGCCAUCUUAUAACCAUAGGGAAAAAAACAUAAAAACCACAGGCUACAGGUGUUGGGAAAAGAAGCGAGAAGGGGUCUAGGUUCUGCACGAACUCUGACCUCUGGAUUUAGUCCUGCAUGAGGAAAUAAAACCAUCAUUGUGUGUUCAUGACACCGACACGGGGAUCUUUAUUACUUGUAGCAGAAACAUUACCUGGUGAUAUAAACACUCCAGUAUGGGAAAAACCAUUUCCUUGGGUGAACUCUCUGUGGUCUGUCUGUACAGCAGUCCUCGUGGACCGUUUUCUCCUGCCGGCCGGGCCAGGGAAACACCCUCCAGACUUGGGCCUCCCCUGUCGGCAGAGAGCUGGCUAGAAGCAGGAAGAACCCAAGGUCUAACCCCAGAAACUCAGGUCAAACUCUGACUCUGGAAUCACAGGCUGUGGGACCCUGAGUGAUUUUUGAGACUGUUGGAGCUCCACCUUUAUUUUAAACAGUGUUACCUAAUACAUUUCUACAGAGACUGUUCCCAGCAUGUGCUAAUACAUUAAAAACCCUCAUCUUACGUCUUAGUCACUUAUUUUGGAGGGUGGGUGGAUCCUGGGGAUUGAUCUCAGGGGCACACGGCCACUGAACCA
rnacentral:lncRNA from 1 species